UACGUAGGUUGCAAGCGUUAUCCGGAAUUACUGGGUGUAAAGGGUGCGUAGACGGGAAGGCAAGUUGGUUGUGAAAUCCCUCGGCUUAACUGAGGAACUGCAACCAAAACUAUCUUUCUUGAGUGCUGGAGAGGAAAGUGGAAUUCCUAGUGUAGCGGUGAAAUGCGUAGAUAUUAGGAGGAACACCAGUGGCGAAGGCGACUUUCUGGACAGUAACUGACGUUGAGGCACGAAAGUGUGGGGAGCAAACAGG
rnacentral:rRNA from 1 species